rnacentral:rRNA from 1 species
AAUCUUGCGAAAUGGGCAAAAGGCUGACGCAGCCAUGCCGCGUGAAUGAUGAAGGUCUUAGGAUUGUAAAAUUUUUUUACCGGGGACGAUAACGACGGUACCCGGAGAAGAAGACCCGGCUAACUUCGUGCCAGCAGCCGCGCUAAUACGAAGGAGGCUAGCGUUGCUCGGAAUUACUGGGCGUAAAGGUCGCGUAGGCGGACAUUUAAGUCAGGGGUGAAAUCCCAGAGCUCAACUCUGGAACUGCCUUUGAUACUGGGUGUCUUGAGUGUGAGAGAGGUAUGUGGAACUCCGAGUGUAGAGGUGAAAUUCGUAGAUAUUCGGAAGAACACCAGUGGCGGAGGCGACAUACUGGCUCAUUACUGACGCUGAGGCGCGAAAGCGUGGGGAGCAAACA